rnacentral:tRNA from 1 species
UGGCGGCGUAGCUCAGCUGGCGAGAGCGUACGGUUCAUACCCGUGAGGUCGUGGGUUCGAUCCCCUCCGCCGCUAUCCA